rnacentral:rRNA from 1 species
UACGAAGGGGGCGAGCGUUGUUCGGAAUCACUGGGCUUAAAGGGCGCGUAGGCGGGUGCUCAAGUCCGGGGUGAAAUCCUCCAGCUCAACUGGAGAACUGCCUCGGAUACUGGGUGCCUCGAGGGUGGCAGGGGUAUGCGGAACUAUCGGUGGAGCGGUGAAAUGCGUUGAUAUCGAUAGGAACUCCGGUGGCGAAGGCGGCAUACUGGUCCACUUCUGACGCUGAGGCGCGAAAGCCAGGGGAGCAAACGGG